UACGUAGGGUGCAAGUGUUGUCCGGAUUUAUUGGGCGUAAAGAGCUCGUAGGCGGCUUGUCGCGUCGGAUGUGAAAACCCAGGGCUCAACCCUGGGCCUGCAUUCGAUACGGGCAGACUAGAGUAUGGCAGGGGAGACUGGAAUUCCUGGUGUAGCGGUGAAAUGCGCAGAUAUCAGGAGGAACACCGGUGGCGAAGGCGGGUCUCUGGGCCAAAACUGACGCUGAGGAGCGAAAGCGUGGGGAGCGAACAGG
rnacentral:rRNA from 1 species